UUUCUUUCAUUAAUUUGGGUGAUCUCAAUAAUUUCUUGAUUUUGAUUAGGCUCUGAUACUAAAUUUGUCAUAUAUUCUUAAAUCCAUGUUCCAAAAGUCAAGUGCAUGGAAGUUCAUUUGAUAGUUCUUUAUUCUACUUGUAUUUAUCAUAAAUAGCUGAACUUAGAUGUAAUUCAUGAAAUAUAACUAGUGCGAGUAACUGGCUGAACCCAGUUGAUUAGCCUUCCUAAAUGUGAACUAAAUGCCUAACAUUCUUUGCAGUAGUGAAUAGUGAAUAUUUAUGCAAGUGCACAUGUACUUUUCUCCCUUAAAGCAGUGUAGUUGUACUUUCUUAACUACCAUUACUAGGUGAAGUUAGUUGAAAUUCAUGAGAAUUGUAUUUGGGUCAUUUCAUUUGCAUUGUGAUGUUCUGACAUAGGGCAUUUCUAGUUAACACCAGACUGAGUUCUCCAACUAUUCUUGAUAUUGGUAUAUAAUUCACCUUUUGGUGUAUGAAGUCAGAAAAUGUCCCCUGGGAAUUCAUGGUCAAUGGGUUGUUUUUCAUUUGGCUACCAAAAUACUUGGUGAGUGUUAUAUAAUAGCUAUUAGGUCAGCCAUGCUAUAUGACAAUUGUUAGCCCAUUUUCCAAUAGUUUAAUCUUUUAGAAUAGAGGUAAGUCAAGAAACUUUUAUUCUAGUUCUAGAGUCAUCACCUGUCCAACAAAUGUUAUCCGCGUAUUAGAAUCAUCAAGUGUAGGUUACCUUAAUAAAAAGCGCAUGUAAGAAUUGCCAGUCACCCUCAAAAUUGACAAUUUAUCUUGUCUAUAGUCCCCCAAACAAAGGUAUCCGCGUGAGGUUUGAUUAUUGAACAGUAGUCCUAUUUUGAUUGGGCCAAGUGUUUAUAAAGCUAUAUACCAGCUGUCGCCUUUCCACCUGACAACUUAAAGCCUUUUUGUACAGUGGUGAAAAAAUUUAUCAUGGUAUCAGAGUAGGGGAGUGUAGGAAUAGUGGUGCCACACUUUCAGUAUGCGAAUCCUUAUUGUUGGCAAGUAAUUGUAUCGAUUUUGUCUUGGAGAAGAAGGGGUUUGGAAUUCUUUGGAGGAAAAGGAUGAGAGGAUGCUUGAAAUCUUUGGAAUUCUCCUUCAUUAUUAAUGAAUUCUCCUUCAUUGAGAAAGUUUGGGGCUUCUACAGGGUACAGGGAUUAGGGUUUAGGGAGAUUUGUUGCCCCCGCUCUUAUUUACUAUGGUUGUCUACUUGUUGAUUUUUUCAAUAGAAUGGUGGAUAGAGCCGCAGCGAGGCAUUUAUAGAAGGUUUGAGUGUGUUGGGGGGUGGGGAUAGAAGAAAUUGAAAUGUCUCAUUUUCAAUUUGCAUACGAUACUAUUUCUUUCUCUCCAGCACUUGGCUGAUCUCUCAACAGUAAUUGAAUCAUUUUGUGUGUGCUUAUUUUAUUUUGCUUCUGGGACGAAAACUAAGUGGGUGAGGUGUUCAGUAGCUGGGAUUAACACUCAAAUAGGAAGAGUUGAUGAGUUGGCCAAAAUUCUGGGAUUUGGAAUAGGAAAUUGGCCAAUGAAAUAUGUGGGUCUGCCUUUUGGAGGGAUUCCUACGGCAGUGAGUUUCUGGGAUCUGCUAGUGGAGAAAGUGGAGAGGAGGCAGAAUAACUUUGAUUCAAUCAGUGUUGAGCAGUUUACCAAAUUUUUAUCUCUUACUGCUUUGAAUCCCUGCUAGUGUGGCUAAGAGGAUUGAGUGAUUGAUGAGACAUUUUAUAGGAUGGGAGGAAAGAAGGAAAAAAAAAUUAUAUGGUAAAUGGGAAAAUGGUGAUUCAAGUAAAAGAAAAAGGUGGUCUGGGGUUGGGAAUUUGGUGAAAAGAAAUGAGGCUCUACUUGGGAAACGGCUUUGGAAAUUCUAGAGGGAAGAAAUUUACUAUAAUAUGCAGUCAUUAGAAGUAAAUAUGGACUAUAAGAAAAUAGGUGGGAUUCAAAUAUUGCGCUCCCAUGUUCAAGUCAUAAUCCUUCGAAAGAUAUAUUGAAUGGAUCAAUUCUAUGACUGCUUGAGAUGAAAGAAGAAGAAAAUGAUUAUUUAGUAAAUGGGAAAAUGGCAACUCAAGAAAGAGGUGGUCUGGGGUGGGAAUUUAGUGAAAAGAAAUGAGGCUUUACUUGGGAAAUGGCUUUGGAAAUUCCAGAGGGAAGAAAUUUACUAUAGUAUGCAGUCAUUAGAAGUAAAUAUGGACUAUAAGAAAAUAGGUGGGAUUUAAAUAUUGCGCUUCCAUGUUCAAGUCAUAAUUCUUCGAAAGAGAUAUCGAAUGGGAUAAAUUCCAUGACCGCUUGUUUUAGUUAUUCCAUGGUGGGGAAUGGGUAAAAAGUAAGGUUUUGGGAAGAGAGAUGGGUCUGGCAUAGAGCUUUCUUUCAUUUCUUUCCUGAUUUCCACAGAUUAUUUCCAAAUCAUAAUAAUUAUAUUGCCAGAAUGUGUAUCAACUGUCUCUUUCUUGUAAGUUGAUCUGAGUUUCGAACACACCGAAAUAACCUGGAAGUGGAGGAACUAUUAGCACUAUUAUCUACAAGUGAGAUGAUGCUGGUUCCUUCUAGAUCAGAUAGGAGAAGGUGGAUGGGGAUAUUUUCUUGUAAAUAUUGUUCGAUUUGUUUGAUGGACAAUCCCCUGUUCAAAAUAUUUUAUGGACAACCCCAUUCUUACACAAUUUACUCCUCACUAAUCUGGAAGACCAAGCUUUAGCUCUUGGAAUAGGCUGUUCGGAGAAGCUAUAUUCAGAUGGAUCAUCCCAGCUAAUUGCAUGGCCCUUGUGCAAAGAACACAAACAAAAUUCAGAUGGAUCAUCCCAGCUACUUGCAUGGCUCUUGAGCAAAGAACACGAACAAAAUUUUGGUGGGAAGAAGGAAGGACUGUUGUUGGGAAGAUGUACUAUGAUGGCUACCUUCUGGGAUCUUUGAGUGGAAAGAAACAAAAGGAUUUUUCAAGGUUUGAGGGAUGAGCUUCCUUAUGGACAUCAGUUUCUUCAGAUUUUAUGGAUUGCUCUGUUUCUGCUAUUUUCAUAAGUUGGUUUAUAUUUUGAUUUUUGAGUAGUUCUUUGCGGGCUUUGUUUGUGCUUUCGUAGUUGCACUCUCUGUUUGGUGAAAGUCUUAUCCACUGUUGCGUAUCCUCUUUAUUUUUAAUAAAUUCUAGUUUCCUACUCAGAAAAGAAA